rnacentral:rRNA from 1 species
UGCAGAAUCCCGUGAAUCAUCGAGUCUUUGAACGCAAGUUGCGCCCGACGCCAUUCGGCCGAGGGCACGUCUGCCUGGGUGUCACGCACCGUUGCCCCCAAACGCCCCCGCCUCGCAAGGGGCGCGGGAUCUCGUUUGGUGGCGGAAGUUGGCCUCCCGUGGGCCUGUGCUCGCGGUUAGCCUAAAAAGGAGUCCUCGGCGACGAGCGCCACGACAAUCGGUGGUUGAUUAGACCUCGGUCCCCGUCGUGCGUGUCUGGUCGCCACAAGGUGUGACUCGUCGACCCUAACGCGUCGUACCCACGUCGCUCCCAACGCGACCCCAGGUCAGGCGGGACUACCCGCUGAGUUUAAGCAUAUCAAUAAGCGGAGGAAAAAGAAACUUACAAGGAUUCCCUUAGUAACGGCGAGCGAACCGGGAAGUGCCCAGCUUGAGAAUCGGACGUCGCGAGGCGUUCGA